rnacentral:rRNA from 1 species
AUUGAACGCUGGCGGCAUGCUUUACACAUGCAAGUCGAACGGUAACAGGGUGCUUGCACCGCUGACGAGUGGCGAACGGGUGAGUAAUGCGUCGGAACGUGCCGAGUAGUGGGGGAUAACGCAGCGAAAGUUGUGCUAAUACCGCAUACGUACUGAGGUAGAAAGUGGGGGACCUUCGGGCCUCACGCUAUCCGAGCGGCCGACGUCUGAUUAGCUAGUAGGUGAGGUAAAGGCUCACCUAGGCGACGAUCAGUAGCGGGUCUGAGAGGAUGAUCCGUCAAACUGGGACUGAGACACGGCCCAGACUCCUACGGGAGGCAGCAGUGGGGAAUUUUGGACAAUGGGCGAAAGCCUGAUCCAGCCAUGCCGCGUGUCUGAAGAAGGCCUUCGGGUUGUAAAGGACUUUUGUCAGGGAGGAAAUCCCUAGUGCUAAUAACACUGGGGGAUGACAGUACCUGAAGAAUAAGCACCGGCUAACUACGUGCCAGCCGCCGCCGUAA